rnacentral:tRNA from 1 species
AUAGACUUAGUUUAAAAAAAACUUUGUUCUGUGAAAUCAAAAACAGGAACCUAGAAACGUUCCUAGUCUAUCC